GACGAACGCUGGCGGCGUGCUUAACACAUGCAAGUCGAACGGAAAGGCCCUGCUUUUGUGGGGUGCUCGAGUGGCGAACGGGUGAGUAACACGUGAGUAACCUGCCCUUGACUUUGGGAUAACUUCAGGAAACUGGGGCUAAUACCGGAUAGGAGCUCCUGCUGCAUGGUGGGGGUUGGAAAGUUUCGGCGGUUGGGGAUGGACUCGCGGCUUAUCAGCUUGUUGGUGGGGUAGUGGCUUACCAAGGCUUUGACGGGUAGCCGGCCUGAGAGGGUGACCGGCCACAUUGGGACUGAGAUACGGCCCAGACUCCUACGGGAGGCAGCAGUGGGGAAUAUUGCACAAUGGGCGGAAGCCUGAUGCAGCAACGCCGCGUGCGGGAUGAUGGCCUUCGGGUUGUAAACCGCUUUCGCCUGUGACGAAGCGUGAGUGGCGGUAAUGGGUAAAGAAGCACCGGCUAACUACGUG
rnacentral:rRNA from 1 species